rnacentral:rRNA from 1 species
ACGAACGCUGGCGGCGUGCCUAAUACAUGCAAGUCGAACGAGAGCAACCGGUGCUUGCACUGGUCAAUCUAGUGGCGAACGGGUGAGUAACACGUGGGUAACCUGCCCAUCAGAGGGGGAUAACAUCCGGAAACGGAUGCUAAAACCGCAUAGGUCUUCGAACCGCAUGGUUUGAAGAGGAAAGGAGGCGCAAGCUUCUGCUGAUGGAUGGACCCGCGGUGCAUUAGCUAGUUGGUGAGGUAACGGCUCACCAAGGCCGUGAUGCAUAGCCGACCUGAGAGGGUGAUCGGCCACAUUGGGACUGAGACACGGCCCAAACUCCUACGGGAGGCAGCAGUAGGGAGUCUUCCGCAAUGGACGCAAGUCUGACGGAGCAACGCCGCGUGAGUGAAGAAGGUUUUCGGAUCGUAAAACUCUGUUGUUAGAGAAGAACAAGUGCUAGAGUAACUGUUAGCGCCUUGACGGUAUCUAACCAGAAAGCCACGGCUAACUACGUG